rnacentral:misc_RNA from 1 species
UCUUUCACGUGUUUUAUGUAUAACUAAAAAUGCCACCUGCCCUCUACCUUUCCGGGCCAUGCGAGAUCUGCGAGCAACCGGCUCACGGCAAUCAUUUCGGUGUGCUCAGUUGCCGAGCGUGUGCCGCAUUUUUCCGAAGAGCCGCACUUCAAAAUGCAAAAUAUCAGGAUAGAGUUUGCAGAAAGGGAAAUUGCAUUGGAAAUGAUUUAUAUCGCUGUAAAAUCUGUCGGUUGAAAAAGUGUUGUGAAGUUGGGAUGAACUCGAGCAGUGGAAUUUCAAAACGACCGGGACCUCAUUUCGUCUUCCCUCCGUCCAACGAACUACACGAAAACCAGCGCACCUCAAAGUUUGGCAAAUUUUCUCGGCCGGCCCGAAUUCAUUUUGUGCUGUGAGCCGGACAAAGCCAGCUCCACGAAACGUCUGGUGGAUGUGACAAGUCUUGUCGAUAAAGCUUGGGCGAUUUUUCAAGAGGAUGCUGCAUAUUCAUGGAGUCCUAAUCAUUACCCUAACUCACUGGAAAAGCUAACCUUCGAGAUGGAAGAAAUCAAAUUAAAAGAGUCGAGCAAAAAACUGGAGAUUGCGACAACUAUUGGACGAAAUGAGGCGUUGCUAUUUUUGGAGCAAUCAUUUUUGGGAGCUGCUCAAUGGUUUGCCAGGCUUCCAGAAUUUUCGAUGCUAGACCCGCAAAUUAAGAUAGAUAUUCUCAAAACUUCCUGGAUGAUUUGGGCUCGACUGGACAAGCUAGCAGCAACUGCGGAUUUUCAUAGACAAAAAUUGCUGGGAAAUGAUGUAUACAUGUGGACAGACAAUACUUGCAUGAAUCCUGGAAAUGUUAAAAUCGAUAUAAAAUGGAGUUCGAACUAUUCUGUGGAGCAGUUGAGAGGAUUUCUAGUCCCCGAUAUCGAAAAAUACUGGCGACAUGCUCUUUCGGACCUGGUAGAACUGGACCCCACAAACGUUGAGCUCAACUUCAUGCUCAUUCAGUUGUGCCUGAACAGUGCUGGGCAGAAAUAUCAGGGCCACGUGCUAGAAGCCACUGAGAAAAUACUGCAAAUUCAAUCGGAUAAUAUGCACGAGUAUUAUACCAAGAAGCUGAAGCUAGUCAACUAUUCUGGAAGACUUGCGAGGCUGAUGAAGAUCAAUAGAGCUAUUGAAGCAGACGUGAGGGAUCGGAAAGAGAAGAAUCAUAUUGCUAAAGUGUUCGAUUUGUUUUUUGUUGAGUACUCCCAUCCGGAAAUGUUUGAAUUUUCUUGAUACGGUUUUUUCAAUAAAGUUUUCAAUAAUUU